rnacentral:lncRNA from 1 species
CUGAGAUUAACCCUUCUGCAUGAGACAGCAGCUAUCCUGGACGGUAGCAAGGAGGAAAUUAGCGACUACUGCAGUGAUUAUUAGAUGACUAAUAACAGGUGCAAAAACAGGUGAAAAUGAGCAGUUUUGGAGCAGCAGUGCUAGUUUGUGCAUCCCACCAGGGAGAGGGGCAUAGAGACCAGAGGACAGCUCUCCCACUGCCCAGGGAUGCACCGGGAAGCUUCCCUAGUCGGAUGCAGCUCUGGAGAGAGACACGUCUCAUCUUAGCAAAUGAGAAAAAGGCAAAAUAAGAAAUCAACGUUUGCCAGAAUAAAAAUAAAUAAAUAAAAAAUAGCCAGAGGAGAGUCAUUUGGGGGCUGAUUUCCAGUACCACGCCUGGGACUGCCUGAUACCACCCGGCUCCGCUGCAGCUCACGGCCGCAUCCUCGCUCAGAGCACUCAUGCCAGGGUUUGGUGCAAGUCCCAGCCACGGGGCUGUAACGAGAUAAUUAUUCAGCACUGGAAUUGCAUCCAGUUGGCACUGAGUUCUGGGUACCUGACAGGCCCGGAAUAAAUGGGGUUUUUCAUCUGGAAGGCUUGAGGUCAGUGCGACUGCCUCGCAAGGGACGGAGGAGUCGCUGCUGCCUUUCGCCAGCUGUGGCCACGACACCGUGCAGAGGCGUUUGCCGCUGGAGGAGACAAAAACGGGUGCAGGGAAAGGAGCCACGAUCCUCGGGGCCAGAGACGCACAGGAGCCCUGGAGCAGGAGCAUCGGCUCACGCUCAGCCACGGCUGCAGCCGCUCACUCCUCCGCACAAGCCGACGGAGAGGCUCUCGCAGCUGCCAGGCUCCCCCACCUCUCAGCCAGCCUCCGAGAGCGCGGGUUGUUCAGCCUUGGCUGUCAGCUUGCAGCUGGGAUGGAGCUCCUCGGCCAGAAAUCGAGCUUUCUCUUUUAAUAAGUCCCUUAGGAGCGUUCAUGCCCCGUCCCUCCAGUCCUUGCUAUUCAGAGGGAACUGGCAGGACUGGACAGCUCAGCUUUUGCGAAGAUAUACAAGUCCUGCAGAAAAAAA